rnacentral:rRNA from 1 species
GCCGCGGUAAUUCCAGCUCCAAUAGCGUAUAUUAACGUUGUUGCAGUUAAAAAGCUCGUAGUUGAAGUGUGGGUGAUCGCUGUUGUGAGACUUCGGUCUCUCGAUAGUAAGUCACCCCCUUCCAGUAUCCAGUAGUGGGUAUUCAGUUACUUACUAUUGUGUGUUGGUCCUUUACUGUGAGAAAAUUAGAGUGUUCAAAGCAGGCGUUUGCUUGAAUAGAUUAGCAUGGAAUAAUAAUUGAAGGCUUUCGUGUUCGAUUUGAUUGGUUUGUUCAUGGAAGCAAGGUUAAAAGGAACAGUUGGGGGUAUUCAUAUUCACUAGUUAGAGGUGAAAUUCUCGGAUUUAUGGAAGAUGAACAAGUGCGAAAGCAUUUACCAAGGAUGUUUUCAUUAAUCAAGAACGAAAG